AACCACCCAGGUGCCCCUCAAAUGCUUUGAUAAAAGAGAAAUAUGGGACAACUGAAGGGAAGAGGGAAGAAAUCUUGCGGAAGCAAUCGCUUUUGUUCUCCGACGUCAUUUCCCCCCUCGCAAAUUACAGGUAACACGUUCUCUUACUUACGCUCCCACAGUAACACCUGAACGUAUUUACGAAGAACCAACCAGCCGCUGCGCACUAGCGUUACCAGCACGAACAACUUGCCAGCUCUCAAAUAGUUGAGACUGAGAACUACGCCAAGCAAGGCCUGCCUGAGGCCCUCGGCUGUGGACCAGGAAGCGAUCUACUGGCUGGGCGUGUGAGUAGGAACGAGGGUAACCCAAGGCUCAGAAGGGCCUAGGGAUGGUCUCUGGCAGCACCGGGAAGACGCAGCCCCGGGCGGUGCUGCCACAGUCCGGCUCGGCGCCCACAAGGCAGGCCCGCGGGCCAAGCGCCGGCCCUCCGAGCACGCGGCUGGGCGCGAAGGCCCACCCACUCCUCGAGACUCACCCCGGAGAUCCAGCUCGCGGUCCCGCACGGCGUUGGUGUACUGAGCCGCCUGCUCGAUCAGCUCCGCCGUCAGCUUCACCAUCCUGCUGCCUCCCGCUGCCGCUGCCGGUGCCGCGGCCCACCGGCUGCUUCCCGCCGCCUCCCGCCCGCCAGACUUCCCGGCGUACCCCGCGCCCCGCCGCCAGGCCUCACCAAUCGCAGCCGGCGCAUGCGCGCGCCGCUCGGCACCCAGGCCGAAGUAAUCGAUCGUGAGCAACGCCCACGAUCUCGUCGUCUGCGGAGCUGCUGGAGCGCGCGGAACGUGUCUCGGGUUCUGGGUUUUUCCUUGGGGCGUGCUUGAAGGAGGGCCCCUGAUUCCUGAUGAUGCUCUUGUCCGCAAGUUAAGCAAAAUAAGCACGGGAUACAGAAGAGUGCGCAAACCAGGAAUCUGCAACGUGAAGAAUACCCGCAGAGGGAGCGCACCUGCGUUGCUGCCUCCGGGUCCAGAAAAAAGAACACUUUUCCGAAAGCCUCCAUCCCUUCCCAAAGGCAACCAGGAAUCCCAACACCACAGAUUAGUUUUUGCUUGCUUUUGAUACAAAUAGAGUCACGCAGCGUGCUCCCGUG